UCCACAAACAUGCGUUGAGCAACGCCUCCCUGCCACUGCCUUGGGCUCCUGAAGCCAUUGCUCCACAAAAGAAAGCAGAGACGGAUUUUCACAACGAAAAGUUGUGUCUUAGACACAUGAAUCACUAUAGCUUGGAGGCCCUCAGCUUACUGCCCUGGGGGGGUACCCAGUGAUCACACGUGCCCACGUUUAUACUCCAAGACAACACUCUCCUUGGCUAGAGUUUAUUUGACCAGUUGAUGGGCUCAACUGAAGAAUUUGGAACUGUGAUGAUCCUUCCAUAUGUAACCCAGGGUGAGCCGGGUGCGGAGUACACAGCAAAGGACGACCGGGUUCUGAACCUACGGCCUCCGCAUGCUGAGGGCUCUGCUACUACGAAGCUACAGCCGCGGCCCCUUUGGAAGCAGUCACAAGAAUCGUCUCCGGGUUCUGCUCCCCGUCCCUCCCGUCCGCACAGCCCGACUUGGCCUUACUUGAAUAGAGGUCGUGUAAAUUUCAUCCUUCCUUGUUCAGUUGCCAUCUUUAGGGCCAAAGGAAUUGCUUCUUCCCACUUCGAUUGAAUGCAGAGCCGUAACCAUCUGAAAGAAGGGUUUAUAGGGGUGGGCGGGAAGGUGAGGACGGCGGGAAAACCAGAGGUUCUCCUGAACAUUCAUGCCGCGGAGACGAACAACCCCAUCAUGGCCACGCUGAACGCCUUCACUCCACCAACUCUCAUCUGCGCACACACUAACAACUGGAGAAGAGAAGGAGGAGGAGCUGCGUCUUGGGAAAGGCCCUAAGUGUUGGGUUUGGACGGAGGAAGUGCUUGUGUGCGUAACAGAAGUACCUUUGACCUAAACCUAACGCUACGAAUCUGAAUUCAGGGUGGUUGACGUAGCACAGAAUCAAAGGUGUCUACCCGGGCCCACUCAGAGUUGAUUUGACUACUUGGGAAAGGAAGGCUGUUUGCGAUUAAAACUCCUCAUUCUAAUUUGUUUUGUUUUUUUAAAGUUGGGGGAAACUGAGAACCAAGUCUAGCAAAAAAUAGAUUAGUAUCACCAUGUGACACACAUCUUGGCUAUCCCUUCCAUUCCACUGUGGCUAUCUACGUGGAUGACACGCGACAGGGGUUCUCAGGACUCGUGGGCUCCCGCACUGUGCUUCCCCGUUCUCCUCUGUUUAAGCUACCACUCCGCUUUCUUCCACAGAGACAAGUUAAAAUGAUGUACCUGAAUCGUAUUUCAGAAUUGUUAAUGGCAUUGAAGUUGUACACCUCUUGCAUUCGCUUUAUGUGCCCCAAGGGAAGAGGUGCCUAAGAGCAAAACGAAGAAGUAUGAGGGAUCAUUUCAACAGGAUUCCCUGGAAGAAAGGAGCUGGAGAGAAAGUCUUAGCCAGAUUAAAGCCCUACGUACCUCAGAAUACGGAAAACUGCUGGACGGGGGUAAGGGAAACGGAUUCGAGCUGAAGCGAAUGCCUAACUAGUCCCUGAGGAGGAUGCUCUGGGGGAGCAGGGAUGAGCUAUUGUGGGGAAAUUAGAGAAGUGAAGGGCGAUCGUGCUCUCCUCAGCCUAGACCGUCCCAGCAUCCUUUGGGUCCUUCCCCAUGUCUUACACAACUCAAACUUAGCCCACUCUUUAGAUAAGCCACACUUCCUUACACUUUCAUUCCCAGUGCCUUUCCUGAUUGGCUUUAUCUGGGUCUAUUUCUUCUGACAUCGGUUUUAGAUUAUAUCCUCUGGAAAUGGCAGCCCUUAACCUUUCACAUCACAGUCCCCUUUGGGAGGAGGAAUAUGGACUCUGUCCUUCGUGGGGUUAGGGGGCAUUUACCACAUAAAUAUAAACACCUGAUACAAUUUCAGGGGAUGCCUGAUCUCACUGCACUCAUGUUAACCCACACUAGGAGGGGGAACCAGUUUGGAAGAAGGAAAGGAGACGGGUUCUACUGGGACAGACAGAACUUAAGACGCCUACGGAGGACAGGCUGAGGUCCCUGGGGAGGUGCUCCCUUCCUACCCUCCCACUGUGGCCUCCUUACCUGACAGGACUGCCUAUGAGCCAGCUGCCUUCAUUCUAACUGCUAGGCCUAUUCCAAGUUAGUGUAUUAGCUCCCACAUGGACAUACUUCAAUUCCAAAUCCACCCUGCAGGCCAGUAAUGAGGGCUCCCUCCUCAAUUUCCUGACCCGCCCUGUUUUGUCACACUCCCCUGCCCCCAUGUCAUCCUAUUUGGCUUCCCCUUUUCUUCUCCAUCCGAGGUCACACCAGCAGCACCACUGGAAGCUAUCAAGCUAAUGACUGGUGCACUAAAACAAAAUUCUCUCUUACUAUGUGACAGGGCCUCUGUCCCGUCUAAAACGCCACCAGCCAUUGCCAACACACGUGUCUCCCCCUCCCAGUGGAUCAUGGGCUUUCUAGAACAAGGAUUCUUCUUUCUUACGUAUGUUUUUUUCUUUUCUUUUCUUUUCUUUUUUUAGGAGCUGGGGACCGAACCCAGGGCCUUGCGCUUGCUAGGCAAGCGCUCUACCACUGAGCUAAAUCCCCAACCCCCUUACGUAUGUUUUGAUCUGGCACAGUACUAAUCAUAAUUCAAUAAAUGCUCUUUCAAAAGAAUGAA